UAGAGGAAUUGUAAAACCACAGCGACUUGGCUUCCGUUAAUAUAUUUACAGCUAGAUGUAUGCACAAGAAAUGGGAUUACUCAGUGAAUUAAAAAAUUUCAAAUAAAUGGAGUGGAACGUGAUGCAAUGAUACGUUCAUUUACAGGAGGGAACUAAAAGAGAGGCUAUGACCCAAUACACAAGUCCACAGAGUGAAGCUAAAAACAUCAUCGUACGGAUACAACAGUUGAGAGAGGAUUGGUGGCCGAUUGCUAUGGAUCUGAUGGGCCUGCCAUUUCAUCAUCCUCAGACUCGUAUUCGUCCUCACUUGGCUCCUCAUCGCUAGAUUUUUCUUCUGGAGCUGCCCCUAUAUCUUCUGGCUUGGCAUAUUUCUCACGGUAUUCUUUAACUCUUUGUUCAUAAGCAGACCGG
rnacentral:misc_RNA from 1 species